ensembl:lncRNA
AUAAUAAGACCCUCGGGCCAGCCUUACCCCCGACCCUCGGGCUGCAGUGUGGACGCUGGGGUAGCAGGCCUGGGGACGUGGCCCUCACCCCGCACCCCGUGCCGAGCUCCUGGGGGACCCGGUGCCUGGGCGGCGAGCCGGCAUAUUUUGAAAGGAACCUGCAGUUCUGAGCGGUGGGCUCCGCAGGGGGCUGCAGUACUCAGCGAGCCGGGCUGCAGGCAGGCGCUCCGUCGCUGGGCUUCGUCGUCACAGAGCACGGGCAGGCAGAUUAGGGACGUUCGCGCGGCCUCUCCUCCCUGUACCCGGCUGUCCCGUCUCGCCGGAACCUGCUGUCCGUGGUGUGAGCGUCGCUGGGGCUCCCACGUCAGCACUGCGGCUGCCCCUCGCGCGUCUGUCACUGAGACGGCCCCUUCCCCCGAGCCUCGCGAACCCACCGCGCUGUUGGCAGGGUGGCCUGCGGCAGCUCCCGUGUCUCGGCCAUCACAGAAGUGGAGCCGGCUGGGACCGUGUCCUGGGGUGGGGCAGGGGACGCCGUGGGUGCUGUCAUCCCGCCAACACGGUGAAGCUCUGUGUAGCACAGCCGCGAGGACGGUUUCCUCCCGAGUCUUAAAUAAACCUCCGGUAGCCUCCCUUUGUUUUUCUGGGUUUUCUCGUUGUUGUUUUGCUUUGCUUUGUCUUAGUUUUUGGACACACAGAGCAGAGAGGAGGCCCCGGCCCACCCUGCUCCUGCUGGAACGUUCCGGAAGGGCUCUGUGCCAGCAGGGGUUAGGUCCCCGUGUCCCCACGGCACUCUUGCACGUGGUGCCGCACCACGCCCCUCCUCACCUGGAGGUCCUUCCGCACCGGCCGGGGGGAGCUUGGCCACGCUGCCGUGCCCGCAGGCAGUCCUUGGGCUUGCCGUGGGUUGGGGAGGGGUUUCCUUUUCCAAACUGGACGUGUUUCAAGCUCCCAGAGAGCCCACCGGCCCAGGCCUCAUCUGCCCCCGGCGGCACCCCGGUUUCUCUGCACCCCACGCCCAGUCCAGGCCUCAUCUGCCCCCGGCGGCACCCAGGUUUCUCUGCACCCCACGCCCAGUCCAGGCCUCAUCUGCCCCCGGCGGCACCCAGGUUUCUCUGCACCCCACGCCCAGUCCAGGCCUCAUCUGCCCCCGGCGGCACCCCGGUUUCUCUGCACCCCGCGCCCAGUCCAGGCCUCAUCUGCCCCCGGCGGCACCCAGGUUUCUCUGCACCCCGCGCCCAGUCCAGGCCUCAUCUGCCCCCUGUGGCACCCAGGUUUCUCUGCACCCCACGCCCAGUCCAGGCCUCAUCUGCCCCCGGCGGCACCCAGGUUUCUCUGCACCCCACGCCCAGUCCAGGCCUCAUCUGCCCCCGGCGGCACCCAGGUUUCUCUGCACCCCACGCCCAGUCCAGGCCUCAUCUGCCCCCGGCGGCACCCAGGUUUCUCUGCACCCCACGCCCAGUCCAGGCCUCAUCUGCCCCCGGCGGCACCCAGGUUUCUCUGCACCCCACGCCCAGUCCAGGCCUCAUCUGCCCCCGGCGGCACCCAGGUUUCUCUGUACCCCACGCCCAGUCCAGGCCUCAUCUGCCCCCAGCGGCACCCAGGUUUCUCUGCACCCCACACCCAGUCCGCUCUGCUGGCAGCAGGCAGUCGGGGUUCCAGGCUGUCCCUCUUGUUGCCAGUGCCUCCCGGCUGCCCUUGUUACCAAGCUGA